rnacentral:rRNA from 1 species
GCGCGAAAACUUUGCAAUGCGGGAAACCGUGACAGGGGAACUCCGAGUGCCCGUAAAAUCGGGCUGUCCAUCGGUUUAAAUAACCGGUGAAGAAAGGGCCGGGCAAGACCGGUGCCAGCCGCCGCGGUAAUACCGGCGGCUCGAGUGGUGGCCACUAUUACUGGGCUUAAAGCGUUCGUAGCUGGUUUGUUAAGUCCCUGGGGAAAUCUUCCGGCUUAACCGGAAGGCGUCUCAGGGAUACUGGCAGACUAGGGACCGGGAGAGGUGAGGGGUACUCCAGGGGUAGGAGUGAAAUCCUGUAAUCCUUGGGGGACCACCUGUGGCGAAGGCGCCUCACCAGAACGGCUCCGACAGUGAGGGACGAAAGCUGGGGGAGCAAACCGGAUUAGAUACCCGGGUAGUCCCAGCUGUAAACGAUGCGCGUUAGGUGUAUCGGUGACCACGAGUCGACCGAGGUGCCGAAGAGAAAUCGUGAAACGUGCCGCCUGGGAAGUACGGUCGCAAGGCUAGAAACGUUAAAGGAAGUUGGGCGGGGGAGCGACCGACAACGGGUGGAGCCUGGCGGUUUAAUCGGACUCGAACGCCGGGAAA